rnacentral:lncRNA from 1 species
UCUUAUACUUAUCAUUGUUUUCUGUGUGGGAGUAAAUUAAAAAUUUUAAAUUAUAUAGUAAUGACUUUUUUUCAGAUCCCCUUCUUGGGGGACUUAGAGCGGAGCUAAAAUGAAAAUGGUGCUGGGGGUAGCUGGAGUGUUGGGGAGGUCUAAUGAGCAAAUUCCCUUUCUAGGAAGUCAGGCUCCCCCUUGAAGUGAAUCUGCGAAAACAACAUGGAAGUAAAGGUCAGGAGCUGUUUCAAACAUGGGGCCCCAGCUGUGUUGCCAAUAGCCUCUAGGUGAGACCUGGAGGAUCACUUCUACAAAGGUGUGAAGAUCUUGGUAUCUCUAAAAGAGCAGUGGAUUUGGAGUCAAAGUGUUUGAAUAUUAACUCUUCCAAUUUCUUGUGUGAUCUUGGAAAGAAGCCUGGGAUCAUUAAAAACAUUAUGAUAUUUCCUGAAUGUAAUCCAGCCUGAUCGCGUUCUCUUAGUCAUUCCUGGAGCCAUCUUAUUACUCACGUUCAAAGACUGUCAAAGUUUGAUAUGCUGGCAGGUAAGUUCAAUGGGUUAUCCAUAUUAUAGUCUGAAAA